rnacentral:rRNA from 1 species
UACGUAGGGUGCAAGCGUUAAUCGGAAUUACUGGGCGUAAAGCGUGCGCAGGCGGUUCGCUAAGACCGAUGUGAAAUCCCCGGGCUUAACCUGGGAAUGGCAUUUGGGACUGCAAGGCUCGAGUGCGGCAGAGGAGACUGGAAUUCCUGGUGUAGCAGUGAAAUGCGUAGAUAUCAGGAGGAACACCGAUGGCGAAGGCAGGUCUCUGGGCUGACACUGACGCUCAUGCACGAAAGCGUGGGGAGCAAACAGG